UCCGGGGUACCUAACACGUGGAGUUGUGUCAUUGAGUUCAGCAUGUUUCUGGUUUACGCAAAGCUUUCGGGGGAAAGUAAAAUAGUUUUACAAAGCGGAAUGGUUUAUCGACUUACGAUGUAAUAAAAACUUGUCCACCAGGAAAAUUUCAAUCGAAGUACAGAAUUUUCUCGAAUCCGAGGACAAUAAUGUUUUCAUCAGCUGAUUGUAGAGGAGGAGUUUUGUCAGUGUUCGAUGGGUACUACUACUAACGUCAUAUUGUGGCUGCAUCACUUUUGUUUGGGUGUCUGCACAUCCUGCAAUCCUAAGACAAUACUGGAUGGUUUUGAUUAAGAACUGAUCCAGCUUGAAGACCAGCCAUGUGCCUCACCUGUCAUGACAUUAUUUAGUACUUUGUGACAGUGGGAAGAUAGAAUUUAAAAAAUGGACAUGGCUCUAUAUUACUGCAUCAGAGAUCAAUCCAGGUUUACUUAUAAUUUGAAGAAAAAUAGUCAAGCAUCAUUUGGAGCUAUGUCACCGCCUUAAUAAUAUGCCGGCUUAUAUAACCAACCAAGCACAGUGACCAGUUGUACCUAUGAUGUUGGGAGAGAUCCUGAAAAACCUUCCAGUACAUUCAUCACUACCUGCAAAGAAAUAAAAAUUCAAAUGACUUGUAUCAACACUUUUGUACUUCAUCUGGCUUGUAUUUUCAUUAAUCAUUAGCCUUUAGCUUCCUUCAAACAAAAUUGCAUAAUUAAGUACUUACUUGCAGGUGUAAAAUGUUCGAAACAGUUUGCUUGUCCCAAAGGAAAUUCUCUGCCAAUUAGCUGUGCCAUGAGCAGCUGAUUGAUGUCACAGUUCCACCGGCAAAGUAUUUGUAGCUGAAUGGUGCCAUAUAAAACACUUUUAACAAGAACCUGGAAACAUCCUGGAAGUGAGCAUCUACAAGAAAUUAAGUGAAUGCUUUCUUGAAUGUUAACAAUGUUAUAAAAUGCUUGUGUACAUCCUAUAUAUAUACAACAAAUUACACAUGUAACAACCAAAUACACAAAAAUUAAACUUCCUUAAAUUUG